rnacentral:rRNA from 1 species
GACGAAGGGGGCUAGCGUUGUUCGGAAUUACUGGGCGAAAAGCGAGUGUAGGUGGUUGUCAUAGUCAGGCGUGAAAGCCUUGAGCUCAACUCAAGAAAUGCGCUUGAUACUGGGCAGCUAGAGGACCGGAGAGGAUAGUGGAAUUCCCAGUGUAGUGGUGAAAUACGUAGAGAUUGGGAAGAACACCAGUGGCGAAGGCGGCUAUCUGGACGGUUUCUGACACUAAGACUCGAAAGCGUGGGGAGCAAACAGG